CCCACUGCGAGGCAGGCAGUGAUGCUGCGGCCGCUUCGCACUGUGGCUCCUGCCGACCGCCAGGCGCUGUUACAGUGGAUGCGAACUAACCAUGCAGCAGCAGCCGGAACCCACAGUUCACCUUGGUGCAUUCCUUUAUGAUGAAGACUUAUUGAUUCAUUAUAUGAGAAAGGAAAAAUGAGCAGAAACUACUGUAUGAUGUGCAGCUCACACCAGACAGCAACUUUAGUCUCACUCUGUCACCUGGCUGGAGUUUAGUGACACGAUCUUAGCUCCCUGCAACCUCUGCCUCCUGAGUUCAAGUGAUUCUCCUACCUCAGCCUCCUGAGUAGCUGGAAUUACAGAGUAAUUUAUCCCUACUUACAGAGAGAUUGCCCUACGUGUAACAGCUGCAUACAAAAAAGUUAUAAAAUUAUCAUUGGUUUAACAAGGAUAAGUGAAAAACAUUAAAAUUCUCCAACUGAACAAGGUGUGUCUGUUUCAUUGAUUGGCUGACUGUCAAAUCGGAAUCUGAUCUGCCCCAUUGACAAUGCCUUGGGCUUUUCCUCGGCCAUGGCAAAUGCCAGAGUCUUCUCAGCUGCCGCUUCACAAAAGAGGUACCAGCUUCUCACUGAACGAACACAGUGCAGCACCAGGAGUGACAGAAGAAGGAGGCGGCAGCGGUGGUUGAGGGACAGGGUGCGUGCACGUCCAAGUACAGUUCUUAAAAUGUUGAGGGCAUACAACAUAUGCUCAAUAAAUACCUGAUUUUUAAAAAAGA
ensembl:lncRNA novel transcript